CCGCCCCACCGGGGAGGACAGCUCCGCGGGUACGGGCGCAAACACACCUGGAGAAGGGCGUGGGCCCGGCGCCCUUGAGCUGCAGCUCCCAGCGCUCUCCGGCCGCCGUGCACACCUCGCCCAGGUCUCGCCUCGGGGACUGCGAGGUCCCGGCCCGUCCGGGUCCCGGUCCGCGGGGCUGCGGCUGAUGGCUGGAGCGUGCGGCGGAGACUGGGCCGUCCGGAAUGACUGCCCUGCGCCACAACGGCAGGUCCCUGGCGGUCCGUCCCGGAGGCACCGGCCAGUCCGGGCUGAGCGCUCCGGGCCGGUGGCCGUGACGAGUGACGUCCCCAUGGGACCUCCGGGGUGCCUCCCAACUCCGCGGUGAAGCCAAGGUCAGACCCGGCCCCACGCUUUGCUGAGGUUUGGCCCUGGAUUGUCCUUUGCCCACUGCGCACAGGGAAGGAGGGAAAGAGGACCUUUGUCCAGAUCUGUCCGAAAGUUGGGGGACAUUUUUGGGCCAGGAAGAGCCCCAGGGCGAAGCCAAAGCUGAGAGCCUGCCAGCCUGGGGCCAGGCGACUCCCUCGUGCAGGGCCUUUGCUCCUGCUCUUUCCCUGCUCCAAGCAGGGUUCCUCACACGCGGGCUGGAUCCCAGGCCCACCUCUCCUGCCUGCCUCCUGUGUUUUUCCUUGCACUUCUCUCUGAAAUUAGCUCAUUCCCUUAUUUUCCUGUUUCCUGUGUGUCUUUCUUCUCACCCACGCUCUGGAAGGGUGGGAGCCUUGGUGAUCUGGGCACCAGUUCCCCCAGAACAGAGCCUGGCCCAGAGAAACCCCCCAUAGAUGCCCAGGAGGCCUAGGGUGGGCGCAGGGUGGGGAGGGCAAGCCUGGCCUUGAAGGGCCCGCCCCCAGGUGAGGAGCUGCGGUCAGUGUUGCAGAAUGACUCAGGGGUUCCGUUCAGAAGAGGCUUGUGGAGGGCCCCCCAGGCGACCCCACUGAUGCCUGCGUGGCACGGGUGGUCCUUGCAGGGGUUCCCAAGCCCCUGCCCACCUGGACCCAGAGUCACACCCGAGACCGCCUGUGGCUAGGGCUGUUCUGUUCCCGCUGCCCCGAUUCCACACCAACUUAAGGGAGACGCCUCGGAACCUCCCCCUGGGGCCCCAGCAUGGCGCCCCAGACCUUGUGUGAACCAGCUCCGCCCCUGCCGGCUCUGUGACCUCGGGGAAGCCCUCACCCCCCUCCAGCUCGGGGUCCUCUUCCCCGACGUGAGCAAUGACACUGCCUUCUGUGUGGGGUGGGGGGUCCCACAGACAACGGGGACAACGUGGUAGGUGCUUGGCACCCUGGAUCCCCCUCCUGCAGCCUGACGGCUUCCCUUCCACCUGGACCCACCUGGGCUCUUCCCCACGUGGCCUGCUGGCAGAGUCCCCUGUUCCCAGCCUUCUUCCUAGCUACCUGGGAGACCUGACCUGAGACUCCCCUCUUCCCCAGGCCCAGGCCCUCCUGCCCCAUCUCCUGGCCGCCUCACCCCACUGUCCUACCCCUACUCUGGAAUCUGGUGGGACUGGGUGUUUGAGGGCCUGUGAGUGCCGGGCUCUGUGCCCUACUGCCUGCCCUGCCUGAGCUCACAGCAGAGGGAACAUCUGGUGGGUUCCAGUGGUUCUGCAGGUCAGUGUGGGAGGGUCAGUGGCCCUCCCAGCCCUGGCAACCUUGCCUCUGCCUCACUCUUGGGCUGCAUGGCCUCGUGGACCUCCCUAGGCCCAUCCGGUACCUGCAGGUGCCGCUGGAGCACAGGGUCCACGUGGCCCUGAUGCGUGGGAGCUGAGCUUGGCCCCUUCCUGGCCCCUCCCUGCAAAGAAGACUCAGCUGACAGCCAGGCUGCGCCAUCCUUGCAGGGCAGGCCUAGGCCCUGGGGGUGGCAGUGCGAGUGCGCAGCCCGCUAGAGCGCAGGGCCGGUCCACGGUCGUCCAGCGCAUGCCUGAGUCGGCCCCGGUGCGCUCCGGCCUCGGUGUGUUGAGGUUGGCCUGGUCACCAUCGCUGUACCACCAGCUGGCGCGUGAGGGCUCGCGGCUGCAGCUGGCAGAGAUGUGGGCCAUCGGCGCAGGGCGUUCAGCCAUGGGGCGUGUGGUGCAGCGUGCUGAAGCCACAGCCCUCCUGGUUGUGGACACCGCCGGAGCCCUGGAACGUGUACCCUGUACGGUGUGGGCCGUGGCACUGCAGCCCUUCAGCUGCACCCCCGUCCUGGAUCCUGGCCAUCUGGGCCCCCCGGCAGGUGGUCCGGGAGGAACAUCCUUUCCCAGAGAGCUGAGGCUGGCAGAAGUAGGCUGAGAAGUUGGGGACUCUGGGGUCCCAACCUUCUUCCCAGCCCCUAGCCCGGGAAGCAUGUCAGCACACCACGAUGCUUGUGGGCAGGGGGGUGGUACGAAAGCCCCCAGCCCUCCCAGGCACUCACCUGCGGCCCUGAGUACAGGCCGAGAGGUAGAGCCAAUAAAACCGGUCUCCCUGGUCCACGCGGAAGCUGUCAUAGCGGGCCCGCAGCGAGUGGUUGCCCACGUCCCGCAGAUCCACCGUCAGCUCGCUGUGCAGGCCGGGCUGGGAGGUCAGGCCCAAGAUGUGUUCCAGCCCCGGCCAGUGGUCACCCAGGCUCAGGCCUGCCCUGUGUUCUCAACAAGGCCCCGGGGCCCUGGCUGCACGGCCUUCCUACCUCCCCAGUCUCCAAAGCCCUCUUUGUACUCCUGCCGGCACCUCUCAAAUUCCAGCAGCCUCUCCCCGCCCGUCUCAACUCUGAAUCACCGUCCAACCACUGUCUGCACGCUUGUCACAGAACCUGGGGUGGGGCGAGGACGUCAGCGCCUCCCGUGCUGGCUGGGCCUGGGUGGGUCGGAGGGGCCUGCCCCUCCACGGUCCAGGCGGGAGGGAUGUCCGCUCUCCCCUAAGCACUCUUUAUAUGUUUGAGAAAUGAAACCUUGUUGUUUUUCUGUUUGUCAGUGUAAUACAAACUUGCAUUGGAAUCACUAACAUUCUCAGAAAUAGGGUGAAGACUCACAGUAACUCCCCAGGCCUCAGGCUGACGGCUUCAAUUUAAUGGAUGUUAUUUUAUACUUAACUUGUAUCCUGGCCAUCUUUGUUCCCUUGGAAGUAGACUUCUCUUCUCCUUUCCUGACUGUAGCCAGCGCCCAGAGAGCAUCUCUGUUCCAGGUGCAGGUGUCUGAGGAUGGCCUCUGGCCUGGCCCCGCCCUUCCCUCCCAACAGCCCACGGUAACAUCUGUUUUUGCCAAAGUGAUACACGAACUGCAGGCUGCUCUCCUGGACGGGGCACUGGCUCCUCUGGCUGGCUGGCAUACACACCUCUGGGGCCCUCUGGUUCUCCACCCAGAUCUGAGAGCAGCCUCUCCCUGGGGAAGACUUGGGCCAGGAGGGGUCAGAGUUGUCUGGGUGACCAGACCCAGAGCCCGAGAAGGGCCCGUGGACAGUCCAGCAGGUGACUUACAACCUUGGUCCUGGCAGACGCGCAGCCACUGUCCUCUCGCCUUGGGCCACACCUGCCUCAGGCCUCUUCCCUUCUGGAAGCCGCUGGCCUUCAGGCUCCUAGCACUUGCCGGCCCCCAGCCCUCCGUCAGACCCUCGAUUCCUCCUGUCGCCCCUGGACCCACCUCUCCCUGUGGGUCCAACAUGGCCUUCACCUGCUGCCCUAGGAGGGUCUGCCUUGGCUUCCCCGCCUCCCUCGCUCGGCCCAGCUGGCCCCCCUAACACCAGCCUGGAGGGGGCCUGGUCCUUGCCUGCCCCUCCCCCAGGCUGUUUAGGGCAGGCACCCAGGUGGGUCCUCAGGGGAGUGAGAAGCCUGCAGGGUGCAGACCUGUGGGUGACAGCUCCGAGGCCACCCAGCCAUUACGCACUGGGCCCCUUCCACUCCCCCACACCCGGCCAGACCCUGGGGUCCCAGCAGGACCGCCUGGACCUGUGGAGAGAAGACCCCGGGCAGAGGGAAGCUCAGUAGCCCCUGGAGCCCCUGGCCCACCAUGGGCCCACCACCCACUCCUACCAGCCUUUGACGAUGUGCCUCAGAGCUGGCCCAGGGCAGAGAGGCACAGAAGAGCCCCGAGACCCAGCGCAGGGCAGGCGGCCAUGCUUCCUGGGGGGCAAACACGUGGAGAAGCGCCACCCCGCCGCCUCCUGCCGCGCCCCCGGGGCGGCCCACACGCCUCUCCAUGCCCACUGUCGUCGCCUUUCUGGGCGAUGUGAGCCGCCGGUCCCCACUGAGUUUUGUUCAAGGUGCUGGGCUCGCUCCCACCUCCUCCCCUCCGGCAUGCCAGGGUGUGGGGCUGGGCAGGGAGGGGAGCCCCAGGGUGCGGACUAGAAGGGAGGGCAGGGGUCCACAAGGGAUGGGUGGGUACCACCAACAUCCUGAUGCCCUUCCCCACCCUCCCUGUCACUUGAGUCCCAUUCCCGCACAUUUCACAAAGCAGGCUUCCAAAAUUAGAUUUUAUUUCAGUCUCUAAGGGACGUGUACACGAGCGUGUGAAUGACAAGGACAUGGCCCAGCCCAAGGCUCCUUGGGCCAAAUUGUGGCCAUGGCUUUCACCUGAUUUAGACACUGAGUCAACACAGACACAACCAAACGUGGCCCUGGGCCCCUGACGGGAUGCACAGAUGCUACGUCGAAAACAGGUGACCAGGACACGACGCAAACAGGUAAUGACCGGGGUCAAGUGCUGUAUGGGGCCAGCUCGACCUUGGGCCCAGCUGCACCCAACGCGGUUCCUGUGCAAACUGGCGGCCCUGGUGGGUCGCUGCCAGCCAUCCACUGAGGGUCGGGGUGACCCCCAGGUCCCACCACUAGCUGCACAGGAAGCAGGUUCAACCGCCUGUGGGCCAGGCAGGCUCCACCCCGAGAGGGCGGCGGCCCUGCAGCCCCCACGGCUGGAGGUAGACCACGGGGGCAGCUGGACGGGCAGCGGUUGGAGGCCAGCCUGGCUGCCCAUGGCCGAAACUGACCCUUGCCACACCCCUGUCUUCCUGGGACCGAGACCCCAAGAGAAAGGUGUUCUCUUUGUCCCAACCAGAUUUAAGGCUAGUAUUUCCUGACAUUUGCUUCGGUUUAAGUUAAAAAUACCUGAGUAGAAAAGUUUCAGACACUUUUAAAAGCCAGAAACGCACAACCUCUGUAGGCACAGCCGUUGCUGGCGCUCACCCGGGGCCGCCAAGGAGCCACGCGAAGGGCUGCACGGGCCAAGCUGCCCUUCCCCGCGUGCUGGCCCGGCACCCCCGCGAGGCGCCGCCUGCGACGCGGAGAGAAGGCACAGUGAGGUAGGGGCUGGCCGGCUGCGGCCCACCGCACCUCACCCCUCCCCCGCCAGCUCAUCCCGGGCCGGUGAACUUCCCAGCGGCCGCAGGGAGGGGGUGGAGGGGGGCUGCUGGGAAGCCCGAGCUCAGACAGUGAAAUAAUUCUUUAUUUGGGCGGGUUGGGAGAGGGCAGGUGAGGCUAGGCCGGACCCCCAUGGGGGGUGGCACCCAGGAGCUCCUCAGGGGGCCGGCCCCCCGUGCCCCUCGGCCGUGUCACAGGAGCAGCCGCGGGCAGCCCCCUGGACGGACGUGGUGGCUCCCUCUGUCCUUCCUACUUGUGCGGCCAGGCCUCGGAGGCCCUCUGCAGGCAGUACUGGGCGGCAGGCAGUGACAAGACCAGGCUGCUGGCACGGCGCCCCAUCCAGUACAGGCCGUAGCCCAGGAGGCCCAGGAAGGCGGCCUUCGCGGCCAGCCAGGACACUCUGCCACAGACGGACGGCGGGGGGACGCUGGGGAAGGGAGGGCGGGCUGGGCCUGGCUGGGGACGCACAAUCCCCCAGCCCCCAGCCCGGCUCCACGUGGGUGGGGUGGGGCGGGACGGAGACGGAGGGCUGGGUGGGCGGCACUCACGUCAUUAUCUCCUGGAUGUUGAGGUCGGUGGUCCAGUUCUUCUCGAUGCCGGGGACGUGGCCCAUGCCCACGACGCCCACCACCACGGAGGGGACGCACUUCCUGGGCUCGGCUGCAGGGGGGAGAGACGCAUCAGCACUGCCCACCCGACUGGCCCUGGCGGGUCCCCAGCGACUACCCCGCAGCCCGUCCUCACCGUCAGAGGCACGGGGCAGCUCCAGGCGCCGGGCCGCCUGCCUCAGCAUGUCCUUCUGCUUGCACCGCUCCACGUCAUCCUUGCUGGGGGAGAAGGGCGUGCUGCCAGCCCGAGGGACGGCUGACCCAGGGCGGGGACCUCGCACCUUCUGUCUGGGAUCCUGGCAGGAGGAAGGGCUGGGGAGGCCCUUUGAGAGGAGGCUCCACCCGAGAAUGAGAGGCGUUUGCCGUGUGGCGGUCUGGGCCAGGCCAGGGUGGACCAAGUGCUCUGUGGGUAUCUCAGGCCACUGGUCACCAUUCCCGGGCCGGGAGGCCGAGGGGCCCUACCUGAUAGGGUCCGACAGGAAACACAGGCCCCAGGCCAGCUUGAUCUUCUGCCAGAAAGAGAGGGCGGCGAUGGCCCUCUUGAAGGUGACGGGGAUAGGCCGGUCGCCCAGGUGGAACUUGCAGAAAGGCACCUUGCUGGCCUGGGCAGAGGCUGGGUGUUGGCGGGGGAGCCUCAGGCCCCGGGCAGCUCCCAAGCGCCGAGCCCCCUCUGCCCCCCGGCCGGGCCCGGGCCCACCUCCUUGAAAGCCUCCCUGAACUCGCCGCCAGGGGCCAUGCCCAGCUGCUCAGUGAUGUGGGCGGACACCUUCAGCAGCAGCAUCUGCAUGAGUCCCGACAUGACCCCGUUCUGCAGGGAGAGGCCCGGUCAGCCGGCGUGCGGCAGAGCGUGAUGUGCCUGCGGCCCUGCGGGAGGCCUGCCCUGUGCUCUGGGGAGGAGCGAGGGCCACGCUGACGUCCAGCAGGGCCUCAUGGUGGGCGCCUCACCCACGGUGCACGCUCAGAGGCCCCUCCCGGCCCUUCAGACGACCUUCCCAGAGCAGGCCCACCGCAGGCCAUGCAGUCUCAGACCGGCUGCCUGGCCUCUGCCCCACGGGUGCCCCCUUUCCCCCCUCACCCCUCCAGGCCAGACCCCCAGCUCCUCUGCCCACAUCCCCCUUGGGGCACCUGUCAGUGUGAGUGGACUUGGGUUCUGGGUCCAGAGCCCCUGCGUGAGGCACAGUGGGGUCGCAGCUCUGGGCCACAUGACAAGCUGAGGCCCCACCCCCGCCCCUGGUGACCUGCCAGCACACUCCGGGGCCCUCAGGGUCCCUGACCAGCUCCUGCCUUGGGGUUGGGGCCUCAGCCGCCUCUCCUCACUGUCCCUCGGGCCAGGGUCCCCACGGGGCGGGCACGCGCACCUGCCUGACGGCCUGCUGCAGCUUCUCCAGGCUGAUCUCCUUGGCCUCACGCAGCAGUGUGCGCUCGUCCAUCUUCAGCAUGGACACGCGGUACUGGCACAGCUCGACCACCACCACGUCGGGCUGCACCUCCCGGAUGGUCUGCGACGGACAUGCCAGCUCACCGCGGGCCCCAUGGGCAGAGCCACGCCGGACCCGGAGGCCCACCCCCAGGUCGACCCCACCGCCGCUCAGCCGCCGUGGAGAUAGCUCGGUGCCGGAAGUAACUACGGCGGGAGGGACGGCCCGGGUCUGCGUGUCCUGCCGCAGCAGCAGUGGCGGCUCACGGGCCUCACCUUCGCCACGUCCUUCUUGCUGUCGUCGCUGAAGUGGGCCGUGCCCACCACGUACACGCGGCUCCCAUCCUCGGCCACCAGCUCAGUCACCGUGCGCGGCAGGUUGGGCCGCUCUUGCCGCCUCUUCAGCUUCAUCUCCAGGAGCAGGUGGAAAGCGUCCACGUCGGCUGCAGGGACAGCAAGGCCCGGCUUGGGGCCAUCCUCCCACACGGGCAGCCUGGGCCUCCGGGGCGCAGGGACGGGGGUGCGUGCUGCCCCGCGGAACGCGGACGCACGUGGGGGCCUCUCCGGGCCUCGAGCCACUGGUACUUGCUCACCAGGACGUGCGGCCAGGCCCCACGCCAAGGGGAGCCCCCAGGCCGCCGAGGGGCCCAGGACGGGGUGGGGCUGUGCAGGGCACCCGGCCUCCACACCUGAGGAGGGGGCUCCUGCCACAGCCCUGCUCGCACUCAAGAACCCCCCCCCGCCACCCCCCAAGGGUGGGCCGGGGCCCUGUGGUCCACCACCACAGGCUCUGGAGAUCACCCAGCCCAAGCCCCUCCCGCCCGGCACGGUGACCCAGGGAGCACGCACACAGGUUCUGGGGCUCUCCGGGGAGCACCCUGGGCACCACCUCCGAACCCCCUGAAGUCACGAUGGGCUCUGUGCUGGCCUGCGGAGGGAAGGGGAGCGUUCGAGCGGCGGUGCUCGCCUCUCCGGGGCCUGCCGGGACUCGUGCGGCUGCCCCACCAAGCCCCAGAGCCUGCCGGCUGUGUCCCCCAGACGAUCCCCUCACAGGCGGCCCGCCCUCAGGGCGCCCUGUGGCUGUGUCCCCCCAGACGAUCCCCUCACAUGCGGCCCGCCCUCAGGGCGCCCUGCCCCGGGCCCUCAGCUGACUAGCAACAUCCCAGGAAGACCAGUGAGGGGCUUCUCUGCACAGAGGCCAGAGGGACCCCAGGGAGCCUCACGGGGGGAGCCCCACUCUCCGCGGGGCCGCCCCGGCCCCCGCCCCCGCCCUCGCUCCCCGGCCCCCCAGCCCAGGGCUCUGACCUCGCGAAGGGGCUGUUCGUCCUGCCCCUCCAUGGCGGGCGGUGGCUCCCGGCACCGACGAGUGAAGCCUGAGGAAACACAGGAGCUGCGUCCUCACCUGGAGCCCCGGGGCCGGGCACGGGGGUCAGUGCCCCGUGGUGCUGCGUCCAUCGGGAAUGAUCCGUGGGCAGGACCUCGGCCCUGGGCACAGGUGAUCUCGGGAUCUGCGGUGCGGGGCUGAGAGCAGGCUGGGGACACCCGGGCGGCGAGCCUGAGUCGCCCGAGAGCAGGACGUGCCGCCCGGCCCCCCGCUCGCCCAGCAGGGGGUUACCCCCGGGGGCAGCCGGCCAGACCUGGGGGCCUCCUGUUUGACUUUGGAAUACAACACAAUUUAUAAAAUUCCCUAAAAACACAAAACCAGGCGGCAGAAGUGAACCUGUGUGCUGGGUGGCGCGGAAGGCGGUGCGGCUGCAGCCCCGCUUUCAGGAGCCACAUGUGGCGAUAAUACGUGUUACCAGCAGCAUCACACAGGCGUCGGCACAGACUCAGGAGGGGCAGGGGGAGGGAUGGCGAACAGCACAGGUGUGCCGUCGUCACUGAGAACCGAGACUUCUUCUGGUUGGAGAAAAGAGGCACAAACUCGAAGAAGCUGAGCUAGGAGCCGAGCCCCCGAGGUCACGUGGGAGCCGCUUGUGCUGUCCCUUCCGGAGGGGAGACGGGGUGCAGGAGCCCAGCAAGGCUGUUCUCAGCAGAGGGAAGAUCCCCGCUGGGCCCGGGACACGGUGUCCUGGACAUCCGCCACACGGACUUCACCCGAACCUCCCAAGGUCCUGCCGGAAACUCAAACCAGAGUCUGACAGAGCCUCCGGUUCCAGCUCUGAGUUUAGAGCCGGGGUCUGGCCGCCAAAGGACAGGGGGCUUGGCACCCGCGGGAGAACCUGACAGAUGACUGGAGGCCGUCCCGUGAGGAACGAGUCUAAUUUGGUUUCAGUCGUGGGCGCCGUAUCGUGGGUUUUUAGAGUCCGUGUCUGUCACACGUGAACCGACGGGACAUGCCGGGAGGCCCCAUGCGGGCAGUGGGACACCCCCGGGGCGCCUGUCAGUUUCACUGUUGCACUUUCACAACAAAGAGAAAAAACAAAUAAUAAAUAAACACGACGCUAGGUCAAGUUCC